CUACGUGCCAGCAGCCGCGGUAAUACGUAGGUGGCAAGCGUUGUCCGGAUUUAUUGGGCGUAAAGCGAGUGCAGGCGGUUCAAUAAGUCUGAUGUGAAAGCCUUCGGCUCAACCGGAGAAUUGCAUCAGAAACUGUUGAACUUGAGUGCAGAAGAGGAGAGUGGAACUCCAUGUGUAGCGGUGGAAUGCGUAGAUAUAUGGAAGAACACCAGUGGCGAAGGCGGCUCUCUGGUCUGCAACUGACGCUGAGGCUCGAAAGCAUGGGUAGCGAACAGGAUUAGAUACCCUGGUAGUCCAUGCCGUAAACGAUGAGUGCUAAGUGUUGGGAGGUUUCCGCCUCUCAGUGCUGCAGCUAACGCAUUAAGCACUCCGCCUGGGGAGUACGACCGCAAGGUUGAAACUCAAAGGAAUUGACGGGGGCCCGCACAAGCGGUGGAGCAUGUGGUUUAAUUCGAAGCAACGCGAAGAACCUUACCAGGUCUUGACAUCCCUCUGACCGCUCUAGAGAUAGAGUUUUC
rnacentral:rRNA from 1 species